rnacentral:rRNA from 1 species
UACGAAGGGGGCUAGCGUUGUUCGGAUUAACUGGGCGUAAAGCGCGCGUAGGCGGGUUUUUAAGUCAGGGGUGAAAUCCCAAGGCUCAACCUUGGAACUGCCUUUGAUACUGGAAAUCUUGAGUCCGGGAGAGGUGAGUGGAACUGCGAGUGUAGAGGUGAAAUUCGUAGAUAUUCGCAAGAACACCAGUGGCGAAGGCGGCUCACUGGCCCGAUACUGACGCUGAGGCACGAAAGCGUGGGGAGCAAACAGG